AUACGGAGGAUGCAAGCGUUAUCCGGAUUUAUUGGGUUUAAAGGGUGCGUAGACGGUUUGCUAAGCGGGAGGUGAAAUGCCGGCGCUCAACGUCGGAAGUGCCUCCCGAACUGGUGGACUUGAAUGACUCUGCCGUGGGAGGAAUGUGUAGUGUAGCGGUGAAAUGCUUAGAGAUUACACAGAACACCGAUUGCGAAGGCAUCUCACGAAGGGUUGAUUGACGCUGAGGCACGAAAGCGUGGGGAUCAAACAGGAUUAGAUACCCUGGUAGUCCACGCAGUAAACGAUGAUGGCUAACCGCUGGGCUUAUCAGUUCAGUGGCCAAGCGAAAGCGAUAAGCCAUCCACCUGGGGAGUACGACCGCAAGGUUGAAACUCAAAGGAAUUGACGGGG
rnacentral:rRNA from 1 species